GCAAACUUGGUCAUUUAGAGGAAGUAAAAGUCGUAACAAGGUUUUCGUAGGUGAACCUGCGGAAGGAUCAUUAUCGAGUUGUGUCUCCCUCGGGAGCCAUCUCCACCCUGUGCGAACUGUAUCUUGUUGCUUUGGCGGGCCGCGGCCCUGCUGCCACCGGCCCCGGCUGGUGCGCGCCCGCCAGAGGCCUUUUAAAAUCUUUUUUACCUGGCGUCUGAGCAAAAUAUUAAAUGCGAAAAACUUUCAACAACGGAUCUCUUGGUUCUGGCAUCGAUGAAGAACGCAGC
rnacentral:misc_RNA from 1 species